AUCGCCGAAGGGGAAAUUCGUCGGAGCAGGGCAAGAUCUGUGAUCACAUUGGAACAAUCUGAUUCAAUAAGAACGGGCGCCGGCAGCUGCUGUUCAAAACAGAAGCGAAUUGCAUCUCUGCAUGCUAUGGCUUCAAUCUGCUCGGGUUCAGAGGCAUUGGCGAAGUUGGCAAAUCCCCCAACACAACAGCCUUGAUCAUUGCGAAUAAUGCCAGCGAUGGCGCCAGUAGAGUCUCCAGGAAAAAGGGAUCCGUCAACAUUGAUUUUCAGAGUACCUGCUGGGGGAGGUGUCCACCGAAAAGAUGCUGUGCUGAUGACGCGCCAAGGAUCGGGACGUUGCCGCCGGAAUAUAAAACUGUUACGGGCCUUCCAGAGGUGCCACAAAGUCUGAGCCACCAUUGGCGGGGACGGGCCCUGAUGAUGGAGGUCAGCUUGCCAACAUUGAACACAGCAAGAAUAAGUGCUCAAGGGUUUCCGGUUGGCGUAGGCAAAGAGAGCAUCGCGAGUCAGGUAAAAUCUUACGCUUGCAUAAGUUAACUGCAGUAGGUAACGCGUUUUGACAGAUGCGCCAUAAGAAAUGUUUGAUUCUGGGGGCACUGCAAGUCUCCAUAUAUGCUGCCAUAGUGAGGGGGGGCACUGGUAGGAUGAAGAUGGGUUAGUUGUCGGCUGUAUAGGGGUGGCAGCACGAAUCUUUGUAUAAGCUGUUUUCACAGAAUAAGUUCCUUGAGUAGAUAGCGGCCAGACUAAACGGUCAUUAGGGCGAAGUGGAUUGAGUGGAACUGCUAGAAUCUCUCGGACAAUUUGUGAUAAGAAAAAUGUACUAGCCAAGGAUUCAUUCCAUUGGGUGGAUGAUGUGAUGAGAUCUGCAACCCAGUGAGGUUCACCCACUUG